rnacentral:rRNA from 1 species
UAGGGAUAACAGAGUCGUCACUCGCAAGAGCACAUAUCGACCGAGUGGCUUGCUACCUCGAUGUCGGUUCCCUCCAUCCUGCCCGUGCAGAAGCGGGCAAGGGUGAGGUUGUUCGCCUAUUAAAGGAGGUCGUGAGCUGGGUUUAGACCGUCGUGAGACAGGUCGGCUGCUAUCUAUUGGGGGUGUCAUGGUAUCUGACGGGAACGUCCGUAUAGUACGAGAGGAACUACGGAUGGUCGCCACUGGUGUACCGGUUGUCCGAGAGGGCACGUGCCGGGCAGCCACGCGACACGGGGUAAGAGCUGAACGCAUCUAAGCUCGAAACCCACCUGGAAAAGAGAUACCGCCGAGAUCACUCGUAGAAGACGAGAUCGAUAGACUCGGGGUGUACGCGCCGAGGUGACGAGGCGUUUAGCCCGCGAGCACUAACCGAUCGAAGC